rnacentral:rRNA from 1 species
UACAGAGGGUGCAAGCGUUAAUCGGAAUUACUGGGCGUAAAGCGUGCGUAGACGGUUAUUUAAGUCAGGUGUGAAAGCCCAGGGCUCAACCUUGGAAUUGCAUUUGAGACUGAAUAGCUAGGGUGCGGAAGAGGGAAGCGGAAUUUCCGGUGUAGCGGUGAAAUGCGUAGAUAUCGGAAGGAACACCAGUGGCGAAAGCGGCUUCCUGGUCCAGCACCGACGUUCAGGCACGAAAGCUAGGGGAGCAAACAGG